rnacentral:lncRNA from 1 species
UUUUCUUUUCCCUAAAGCAUGCAUGUUCCCUCCCUAUGAGAAUAUCCUCUGUGUAUCCCAGCUUCCAGCUGCAGAAGCUAUAUUUACCUUCCACAAACCAAGGUUUGUUAUCAAGCUUAAAACAAGCCAUAUGCUCCAGACAGUUCCGAGCCACCUGGCACAUUCGUUGACCUAUUACUUCUCAGUAAAUUCCAACUGACCUUGCACUGAACUGGAAUUUCAACUCAGUUGUCCCUCUGAUGCUCACAAGUUAAGCAGGCUUUUGCUGAGCACUUACAGACACUCCCAGGCCCCUGCCCAGCAUCAUGGGUGUGGCACUGCUGGAGUCCUUAGCAACACUCUCCAGGCAGGAUUAGAUAAGAACAAAGAUUUUGCCCAUUGGUCAACCACCUCGCCCUGUUCCUUUGUUAGUGACUUUAAGACCUUGUCUCUACUUGAAAGAUAUGCUUAUAAAACAAUGCUGUACAUGAGAUGGAGCUUAGGGCAGUGCCCAAAAUAAAGUUAUAACAGGAAAAACCUUUUUUUUUUUACCCAUGUAACCAUGUUUGCAAGCAUGGUUAAAACAUCCUAAGAAUUGUACCCCUGGACCAGCAUAAUUCAACUAAUGUUUCAGAGUUGAUCACAGUUGUGAGUCCAAGCUAUGAAACCCAGAGAAAAAUCUACAUAAUCACUUGUCUCACUUGCAUUAACAAAGGCUUGCAUCCUGUAAGAGAGUUUCUUACAGAGCUUGCAAGGUCACUACUGAGUUGACUGAUGAGUUAUGAUCCAGUUGAAAAACUUAUGUCUCUAUGUCCUUCCCACUUAUGUCUAUGUCCUUCCCACUCAUGUCUAUGUCCUUCCCACUCUACCCAAGCUUUAUACAAUUAGGAUUGAACAUUUUCCAAGUCACACUUCCAAAUUACAGUUACCAGCCAAUUCUGACUUCUUGGAGACACAUAAAAGUUUAAGAAGAUCAAAACAGUGUGUGUGGGGGUGUAUUUUUUAGAACAUUUUUCAGUAGAAGUGUCAGCAGGGGGAGUUUCAAAAGCCCAGCUCUACCGUGAUUGCAGUGUCUGAAAAAAAUCAAGUCACAUACUUCAUUUUGAGCUGAUUGAUUACUUCAAAAUCAGAGAAGUCCUUUCGUGUUAGUAUUCAAGCCACCCACAGCGAGAGGAAUAUGACUACACAUUCCGAUGAGUCCCUAGAGUUAUUCAUGCUCCAGGGGUACCUAUUACCUUUUUUUGAUUCUUCAUACAAUGGCAUCUUGCAGCUUCAAAAAGGGCCUGGUAAAACUGCGUCACAGAAGCCAGAGAUAAAUGGGAAGCCUGCAGCUAAUAGUGAGCUAAACAUCAUCCAUGGAAUUUGGAUGUCAAGUCUGCUGGGCCAUAUUAUUUUCUAAUGUAACCAGUAUUUUCCUGCUGUCAUCUGUUUCAUAGAAUGGUUUGGGUUGGAAGGGAACUUAAAGCUCAUCCAGUUCCACACCCUGCCACAGGCAGGGACCCC